CUCUGGUCUCGUGGGCUCGGAGAUGUGUAUAAGAGACAGGGGAUAUCUAUAUUAUAAAUAUCGGUAGGGGAGCGUUCUGUUAUAGGUUGAAGCAUUAGCGAAAGCGGGUGUGGACGAAACAGAAGUGAGAAUGUCGGCUUGAGUAGCGAAAACAUUGGUGAGAAUCCAAUGCCCCGAAAACCUAAGGUUUCCUUCGGAAGGCUCGUCCGCGGAGGGUAAGUCAGGACCUAAGGCGAGGCUGAGAAGCGUAGUCGAUGGACAACAGGUUAAUAUUCCUGUACUAUUAAUAAUCAAGUAAGGGCAAGGAGUGACGGAGCAGGCUAAGCUAGCCGGAUUCUGGUUACCGGUUUAAACGUUCUAAGUGUUGAUAAAUAGAGAAAAUAUUUUGAGCUGAGACGUGAAUACGUUAUGCUACGGCAUUUAAGUAGUUGAUGUCAUACUUCCAAGAAAAGCUUCCACUGUCGAAUUAUUAAUACCUGUACUGUAAACCGACACAGGUGGGUAAGUAGAGAAUACUAAGGGGCGCGAGAUAACUCUCUCUAAGGAACUCGGCAAAAUAGCCCCGUAACUUUGGGAGAAGGGGUACCUUGAGAAAGGUUGCAAUAAUCAGGUCCAAGCGACUGUUUACCAAAAACACAGGUCUCCGCUAAGUCGUAAGACGAUGUAUGGGGGCUGACGCCUGCCCAGUGCCGGAAGGUUAAAGAAGUCGGUUUUUGCUGAUAACUGAAGCCCCGGUGAACGGCGGCCGUAACUAUAACGGUCCUAAGGUAGCGAAAUUCCUUGUCGGGUAAGUUCCGACCCGCACGAAAGGUGUAACGAUCUGCGUACUGUCUCGGAGAGAGACUCGGCGAAAUAGACUUGUCUGUGAAGAUGCGGACUACCUGCACCUGGACAGAAAGACCCUAUGAAGCUUUACUGUAACUUGAAAUUGGCUCCGGGUUUUAUUCGCGCAGGAUAGGUGGGAGACUGUGAUCAUAUCUUUGCGGAGAUUAUGUAGUCGUUGGUGAGAUACCACUCUUGUAAAACUAGGAUUCUAACUUUGCACCUUACAUCAGGUCAGAGAACAGUUUCAGGUGGGCAGUUUGACUGGGGCGGUCGCCUCCUAAAAGGUAACGGAGGCGCACAAAGGUUUCCUCAGAUCGGUCAGAAAUCGAUUGUAGAGCGUAAAGGCAUAUGGAAGCUUGACUGUGAGACUUACAAGUCGAACAGAGACGAAAGUCGGUCUUAGUGAUCUGACGGUUCUGAGUGGAAGGGCCGUCACUCAACGGAUAAAAGUUACUCUAGGGAUAACAGGCUGAUCUCCCCCAAGAGUUCACAUCGACGGGGAGGUUUGGCACCUCGAUGUCGGCUCAUCGCAUCCUGGGGCGGUAGUACGUCCCAAGGGUUGGGCUGUUCGCCCAUGAAAGCGGUACGCGAGCUGGGUUCAGAACGUCGUGAGACAGUUCGGUCCAUAUCCGGUGUGGGCGUUAGAGUAUUGAGAGGAUUCUUCUUUAGUACGAGAGGACCGAGAAGGACAAACCGCUGGUGUGCCAGUUAUUGUGCCAACAGUAAACGCUGGGUAGCUAAGUUUGGAAAGGAUAACCGCUGAAAGCAUCUAAGUGGGAAGCCCCCCUCAAGAUGAGUACUCUCAUCCUUUUGGAGUAAGGUCACGGCAAGACUAGCCGUUUGAUAGGCAUCAGGUCGAAGUUUAGCAAUAAAUGUAGCUGAGAUGUCCUAAUAGACCGAGGACUUGAAUUA
rnacentral:rRNA from 1 species